UGUUCCGGUGCCGUCGGCCGUCUUUUCCAAGGACCACGGGAGAGAAAGAAACCCCACCAAGCCCCACCCCUCCCGCCCACGGCGCACACUCACUCGCGCGAGUGAACAUCACCAACUGGAGUGGAUAUGCCACAGGUUGCCUGCCCUACGCUCAGCGCAACACAGCACGGCACACAACCCCAGACACACAAACGGCCCCCGCCGGGAGUGACGUCCCGUUGCGAGGGCCUGCCCACCAAGGAAGAAAGCCCCUUCCCG
rnacentral:ncRNA from 1 species